rnacentral:rRNA from 1 species
UACGGAGGAGGCAAGCGUUAUCCGGAAUUAUUGGGCGUAAAGCGUCCGCAGGUGGCACUUCAAGUCUGUCGUCAAAGACUGGGGCUUAACCCUGGAAAGGCGGUGGAAACUGAAGCGCUAGAGUGCGGUAGGGGUAGAGGGAAUUCCCGGUGUAGCGGUGAAAUGCGUAGAGAUCGGGAAGAACAUCGGUGGCGAAAGCGGCAUCCUGGACCGAUACUGACGCUGAGGAGCGAAAGCCAGGGGAGCAAACGGG